UACGAAGGGGGCAAGCGUUGUUCGGAAUUACUGGGCGUAAAGGGCGCGUAGGCGGCUUAUCAAGUCAGGCGUGAAAUUCCCGGGCUCAACCUGAGGGCUGCGCUUGAUACUGAUUGGCUUGAAUGCGGGAGAGGAUAGUGGAAUUCCCAGUGUAGAGGUGAAAUUCGUAGAUAUUGGGAAGAACACCGGUGGCGAAGGCGGCUAUCUGGCCCGUAAUUGACGCUGAGGCGCGAAAGCGUGGGGAGCAAACAGG
rnacentral:rRNA from 1 species